CUAAUGCUAUGUUCAGACUACGCCGUUGUAUCAUGAUAUAAGCGGUUUUCGUGAUACAAGGCCAAUAUCAUGUUUCUGGAACGUGAUAUUGCCAUACAUUUUUGACACCUCCAAUAUCACCUUCCCGAACGUGAUAUUCUGAAUAUCACGAUACAACUGCUCGAAUUUGCUGCUCGAAUGACGAUUUUCUGGCAACCCUGUCGGAUUUGACAGCAAUGCCAAACCAGAAAGUUUGUUUUUAUUUAUAAUCUUUUUUCAUUUUUCGCGUCCACAACGGCUACUACCGCAAGAAAAACCGGGAUCAGAAACCAAGUUGUGGGAUAAUCUUUCGUAAUAUCGGAGAAAGUCGGUGCGGAUGUGCAGAUCCGGAUAGUGUUUCGGUUGGGGUAGGAACAUCGCCACAAAAAAGGAACCAUUGUGUUAAUUUCGGGAGGCGGCAAUAGUGGAAUCCAGGAAUCGGCAGCAUUUACCGCGACACUGAACGAGGCAAAAGUUCCAAUACCGCCACCAGCAAUUACCAUAACUUGUGGAGGUAUUUUUACUGGCACAUGCAACGAAGGUGUAUUCUUCCUCCAGGGUAAAUGAAAUUCGCCGUGGACAUUCACCUGACACCGGUUACCUCUGCCAUACAAAGCGCCAGCAACCACAUUUGGGAAUUCUAUCUAAACAACCAUCGGCAUUUCGGUCGAUGCAUGAUGCACGGAUGUCGAUAUGGAGGUUCAAUAAGGUCAAUCAUCGAGUGGUGGAGAAACUGAAACUGCCGCCUAAUGCGAUGGUGACGCCCAACAGCAAAAUCAGCACAUUGAUCCGGAGCUGGACCAAAUGAUGCUAGAGCUCUACCCAAAAUUGAUCUACCUACUGAUCCAGACUGAUCCUAGCCAAGAUUAUCGCCUGCUUAUUUUUAAUUUUAAGUGAAAUGGUUCAAGGAUGAUUUGAUCUGAACGGAUAUUUCAAGAUAUAUUGAUGUUGUGAACGAAGUACGGUAAAUAAUUUAUUGAAUUAUAGCCAUUUGUCUUGGUAUUAUACUGUUGACAAUUGA